UGUUGCUCAGUGGUAGAGCACUUGCUUAGCAUGCAUGAGGUCCUGGGUUCAAUCCCCAGUA
rnacentral:tRNA from 1 species